rnacentral:tRNA from 1 species
AGGGUUUUACUGUAAGGCGCAGUCUGGUAGCGUAUCUGAAUGGGGUUCAGAGGGCCGGUGGUUCAAAUCCACUCGCCCCGACCA